CACGUAGUUAGCCGUGGCUUUCUGAUUAGGUACCGUCAAGACGUGCACAGUUACUUACACGUUUGUUCUUCCCUAAUAACAGAGUUUUACGAUCCUAAGACCUUCAUCACUCACGCGGCGUUGCUCCGUCAGGCUUUCGCCCAUUGCGGAAGAUUCCCUACUGCUGCCUCCCGUAGGAGUCUGGACCGUGUCUCAGUUCCAGUGUGGCCGAUCACCCUCUCAGGUCGGCUACGUAUCGUUGCCUUGGUGAGCCGUUACCUCACCAACUAGCUAAUACGGCGCGGGUCCAUCUAUAAGUGAUAGCAAAACCAUCUUUCACUAUUGAACCAUGCGGUUCAACAUAUUAUCCGGUAUUAGCUCCGGUUUCCCGAAGUUGUCCCAGUCUUAUAGGUAGGUUACCCACGUGUUACUCACCCGUCCGCCGCUAACGUCAAAGGAGCAAGCUCCUCAUCUGUUCGCUCGACUUGCAUGUAUUAGGCACGCCGCCAGCGUUCAUCCUGAGCCAGG
rnacentral:rRNA from 1 species